GCGUCCUUAGCUCAAUGGAUAGAGCACCUCGCUUCGGACGAGGGGGUUGCGGGUUCGACUCCUGCAGGACGCGCCA
rnacentral:tRNA from 4 species